GACGAACGCUGGCGGCGUGCCUAAUACAUGCAAGUCGAACGGUCUUUUCUAUGGAAGCUUGCUUCCACUGAGAAGAUAGUGGCGAACGGGUGAGUAACACGUGGGUAACCUGCCCAUAAGAGGGGGAUAACAUCCGGAAACGGGUGCUAAUACCGCAUAGUUUUCUUGAUCGCAUGAUUGAGAAAGGAAAGACGGCCUUUGCGCUGUCGCUUAUGGAUGGACCCGCGGCGUAUUAGUUAGUUGGUGAGGUAACGGCUCACCAAGACGAUGAUACGUAGCCGACCUGAGAGGGUGAUCGGCCACAUUGGGACUGAGACACGGCCCAAACUCCUACGGGAGGCAGCAGUAGGGAAUCUUCCGCAAUGGACGAAAGUCUGACGGAGCAACGCCGCGUGAGUGAAGAAGGUUUUCGGAUCGUAAAACUCUGU
rnacentral:rRNA from 1 species